GCCGGGGUGGCGAAACUGGCAGACGCGCACGUUUGAGGGGCGUGUGGGCUUCCCGUAGGGGUUCAAGUCCCCUCCCCGGCA
rnacentral:tRNA from 1 species